GGCAAGGUGGCCGAGUGGUUAAGGCGGUAGACUCAAGAUGAUUCUUGCUUGCAGAGAUGUAGGUCUUAUUCUACUGGUGUAAUGCCGCGUGAGUUCGAUUCUCACCCUUGUCA
rnacentral:tRNA from 1 species